rnacentral:rRNA from 1 species
AGAGUUUGAUCCUGGCUCAGGAUGAACGCUAGCUACAGGCUUAACACAUGCAAGUCGAGGGGAAACGAUAGAGAAAGCUUGCUUUUUCUAGGCGUCGACCGGCGCACGGGUGAGUAACGCGUAUCCAACCUGCCCACCACUUGGGGAUAACCUUGCGAAAGUAAGACUAAUACCCAAUGAUAUCUCUAGAAGACAUCUGAAAGGGAUUAAAGAUUUAUCGGUGAUGGAUGGGGAUGCGUCUGAUUAGCUUGUUGGUGGGGUAACGGCCCACCAAGGCGACGAUCAGUAGGGGUUCUGAGAGGAAGGUCCCCCACAUUGGAACUGAGACACGGUCCAAACUCCUACGGGAGGCAGCAGUGAGGAAUAUUGGUCAAUGGGCGAGAGCCUGAGCCAGCCAAGUAGCGUGCAGGAUGACGGCCCUAUGGGUUGUAAACUGCUUUUUAUAAGGGAAUAAAGUGAGUCUCGUGAGACUUUUUGCAUGUACCUUAUGAAUAAGGACCGGCUAAUUCCGUGCCAGCAGCCGCGGUAAUACGGAAGGUCCGGGCGUUAUCCGGAUUUAUUGGGUUUAAAGGGAGCGUAGGCCGGAGAUUAAGCGUGUUGUGAAAUGUAGACGCUCAACGUCUGCACUGCAGCGCGAACUGGUUUCCUUGAGUACGCACAAAGUGGGCGGAAUUCGUGGUGUAGCGGUGAAAUGCUUAGAUAUCACGAAGAACUCCGAUUGCGAAGGCAGCUCACUGGAGCGCAACUGACGCUGAAGCUCGAAAGUGCGGGUAUCGAACAGGAUUAGAUACCCUGGUAGUCCGCACGGUAAACGAUGGAUGCCCGCUGUUGGUCUGAAUAGGUCAGCGGCCAAGCGAAAGCAUUAAGCAUCCCACCUGGGGAGUACGCCGGCAACGGUGAAACUCAAAUGAAUUGACGG